rnacentral:rRNA from 1 species
UACGUAGGGGGCGAGCGUUGUCCGGAUUUACUGGGCGUAAAGCGCGUGUAGGCGGGUGAUUAAGUUGGGGGUGAAAGCCCGGGGCUCAACCCCGGGAUGCCGCCCAAGACUGGUCUCCUUGAGGACGGAAGAGGGGAGUGGAAUUCCUGGUGUAGCGGUGAAAUGCGUAGAGAUCAGGAGGAACACCCGUGGCGAAGGCGGCUCCCUGGUCCGUUUCUGACGCUGAGACGCGAAAGCGCGGGGAGCGAACGGG